UACGGGGGGUGCGAGCGUUGUCCGGAAUUACUGGGCGUAAAGGGCGCGUAGGCGGUUCGCUAAGUUGGAUGUGAAAACUCUGGGCUCAACCCAGAGCCUGCAUCCAAAACUGGCGGGCUAGAGUUCUGGAGGGGGUAGCGGAAUUCCUGGUGUAGCGGUGAAAUGCGUAGAUAUCAGGAGGAACACCGGUGGCGAAGGCAGCUCGCUGGAACGUUACUGACGCUGAGACGCGAAAGCGUGGGGAGCAAACAGG
rnacentral:rRNA from 1 species